UGACAUCCUCUGAAAACCCUAGAGAUAGGGCUUCUCCUUCGGGAGCAGAGUGACAGGUGGUGCAUGGUUGUCGUCAGCUCGUGUCGUGAGAUGUUGGGUUAAGUCCCGCAACGAGCGCAACCCUUGAUCUUAGUUGCCAUCAUUAAGUUGGGCACUCUAAGGUGACUGCCGGUGACAAACCGGAGGAAGGUGGGGAUGACGUCAAAUCAUCAUGCCCCUUAUGACCUGGGCUACACACGUGCUACAAUGGACGGUACAAAGAGCUGCAAGACCGCGAGGUGGAGCUAAUCUCAUAAAACCCGUUUUUCAGUUCGGAUUGUUGGCUGCAACUUGCCUACAUGAAGCUGGAAUCGCUAGUAAUCGCGGAUCAGCAUGCCGCGGUGAAUACGUUCCCGGGCCUUGUACACACCGCCCGUCACACCACGAGAGUUUGUAACACCCGUUUCGGUGGGGUAACCUUUUUGGAGCCAGCCGCCUAAGGUGGGACAGAUGAUUGGGGUGA
rnacentral:rRNA from 1 species